rnacentral:rRNA from 1 species
UGGGGAAUAUUGCACAAUGGGCGCAAGCCUGAUGCAGCAACGCCGCGUGAAUGAUGAAGGCCUUCGGGUCGUAAAGUUCUGUCCUAAGGGAAGAAUACAGUGACGGUACCUUAGGAGGAAGCCCCGGCUAACUACGUGCCAGCAGCCGCGGUAAUACGUAGGGGGCAAGCGUUAUCCGGAAUCACUGGGCGUAAAGGGAGCGUAGGCGGUUUGACAAGCCAGAGGUGAAAGGCAAUAGCUUAACUAUUGUAAGCCUUUGGAACUGUCGAACUUGAGUGCAGGAGAGGAAAGUGGAAUUCCUAGUGUAGCGGUGAAAUGCGUAGAUAUUAGGAGGAACACCAGUGGCGAAGGCGACUUUCUGGACUGUAACUGACGCUGAGGCUCGAAAGCGUGGGGAGCGAACAGG